rnacentral:rRNA from 1 species
UAUGAUCCAGAGUACCACGGGACACGUGAAACCCUGUGGGAAGCAGGAGGGACCACCCUCCAAGGCUAAAUACUACCUAGUGACCGAUAGCGUAUAGUACCGUGAGGGAAAGGUGAAAAGAACCCCGGGAGGGGAGUGAAAUAGAACCUGAAACCCUGCACUUACAAGCUGUGGAAGCACAUUUCUUGUGUGACCGCGUACUUUUUGUAGAACGGGCCAACGAGUUACGUUAAGUAGCAAGGUUAAGCACUUAAGGUGCGGAGCCGUAGCGAAAGCGAGUUUUAACGGAGCGUUCAGUUACUUGACGUAGACCCGAAACCGGGCGACCUACCCAUGAGCAGGAUGAAGCGAAAGUAAAAUUUCGUGGAGGUCCGAACCCACGGGCGUUGAAAAGCUCGGGGAUGACUGGUGGGUAGCGGUGAAAUUCCAAUCGAGCCCGGAGAUAGCUGGUUCUCCCCGAAAUAGCUUUAGGGCUAGCCUCAAGGUGAGAGAUACGGAGGUAGAGCACUG